rnacentral:tRNA from 1 species
AGCUCAAAUGGAUGAGCAUCGGCCUUCUAAGCCGUGGGUCGCAGGUUCGAGUCCUGCCGGGG